AACGGCCAUACCACAUUAAAACAUUGGUAAUCGUACGAUCACCGAAGUUAAGCAACAUCGAGUCGGGUUAGUACCUAGAUGGGUGACCGCUUGAGAAUGCUAGGCGCAGUAA